rnacentral:misc_RNA from 1 species
CCCAUUUGUCAUCAUCGGUAUUUUUAGGUUAUCGGAUUGGUUUGUCCUAAUAAAAAUUAUUUAUUUUAUUAAUUAUGAUGAGAAACAAAGUUUUCAGGCCAUUCUUUCUCACAGCAGCAGCCGUAACAGUAGCUGAAGAAGGAAAAAAAGGUAUGGCACCACAAAACUGUGUAUGCAGAAGAUCCGAAUUGCCCAUUUAUUCAAACACAGUAGCUGUUAGUACAGCAAGUAUUCAAGAUCACUGCCCACCAGAACCUACAUUUGUUGAAGACAUUAUUAGAACAAUUCGCCAACACCUUGUUAGUGGAUACAGUACAUUUGAGGAGGUAAAGCUUAAAGGAGAAAGUAUGGUUAAUUCGACAGUAUCAAGGGCUGAUGAAGUUAUUCAGUUUCUGCAAAAAGAAGACAACACCUUUCCCCGAUAUGGUGCAAUAGCUAUAGGAGGCCUUGCUGGAUUUAUAUUAGCAAUUAGAGGCAGAUUAUUUAAGAAGACAUUGUAUUCUUUAUUAGGUGCUGGAACUGUUGCUUCUGUAUGUUAUCCUAACGAGGCUAGAUAUUAUGCACAAAUUGGCCUUGCAGAAGCCCGAAAGUAUGCAACUAUUGCUUAUAAUUUCGCCUAUGGAGUAAAAAAGGGUGAACCAAUACAUGAACUUCCUUCAUUGCCAAAAUUACCUAAUAGUUUUUCAGAGGCUAUAGACAUGGCAAGUAAUUUAGGAAAAAAAUCUACUAAAUCAUCUCCUGUUGUAGGUGAAGUAUUUGAAAAAGAUAAAGAGGUGAGUGAUGGUUUGGAUAGUGAAGUGUGCCAAUGUCUGUUGGAAGAAUAUGCUUUAGAAGAAGAAGCAUUUGCUCUUGAUGAAAACACUGCAUGCACCAAUAUUGAAACUUAAGUUAGCUUGCCUAUUUCCAUCCUAUCCCCCGUAACCCAACCCAAUCCCUUGUGGCGUUUGCAUGCUUCGAAAGUUGCAAAGUAAGUCACUGCUUCACCAAUUUCAAUAGAUGAUAAUUUAUUGUAAAUGUACAUAAAAUAGUGUCUAAAUAAUAAAAUUGGUUUUAUCAUU